AAUAAGUUCAAGCAAUCUUUAUUGUGUUAUUACUUUAAUUGACUGGUUUGAGAUUUUGGUCUAAAAUCACCGAUAACAAGCAAAAUGUGAAAUUCGUAUCUAAUGUACGCGAAGCUUCAAUUAAUGUUCGAAUGGGUUCAUUUUUACUUUAGUUUUGUUGAGCAAGGCAUUUUGCACUAUUAUUAUGUUAAUAUGUCUAUUAAUUUCUUCAAUCAGAUAGUAUGACAUGAUUGAAUAAAAAUUGAUGACUUGGUACGGUCAAGUGAAAUGAAGCACACUGCAUGCAUAUCAUAUGAACUUUGAAACUUUGGAUAUUAAUUGAAAUAUAAAAUUGUCUAGGAUUGUGGUAAUUCCCAAACACUGCUGCUUCUUUAUUCUAAACGAUAAUCUCUACUGAAGCGCGACAAGUAAUUUUAACUUAAGCGAUGCUCAUGUCACCCGAAACUGACAGUUCAGUAGAUUUUACUGAAGUCUGCAGUAGCAUUGACUGAAGGGGCGUCCUCUGUAGUUUUACCUAAGUCGCUACAGUAAAUUCAACGUUUUUUUUCUCUGUGUAGUCAUAUAUUCGUCCGUACUUGAGAAUCUUCGCAUCGUUCCUCUGCCCGAACGGAGCCGGAUCCAUUUACCUGCGCCAACACAAUAGGAUGGGAUCGGGAGAGUCAGGUAACUCAGAUAGCGCCGCAUUUAGUGUUAUAUUUACAUAAGAGGGGCCAGAAUUUUGGAAAAGGACAAGGUGGAAGGGUAUGGAAUAUUGAAAUCACUUUUCUCUCCAGUGGCAUCAUCUCGGGGAAACUGGAGCUCAUUCCAGUCCAAAAAAUCGCUUGGAGCAGUCGCCUCUCGGCUCUUUCAUUUUGUGAUCCUUGAAGGUUGAAUUUGUAAAGUUUUUCCUUUUUCUACCGAUAGUCAUAGUUGUGAAAAACUCAAAAUUUAAUUAAAAUCAGUGUCUGAAAGUUAAUCGAAGGACCUAUCCAACCACACAAAUUCGCCAAUAUCGUGGCGAGUGUUAGCGGUCGUGCCUUACACGCAAAACACGAAGCGCGAUGCAAGGCAGCAAGCAGGGCUGUGCCUAGAACCAUUUCAACAUGGCGUCGAUGGGCAAAACCAACGUACCAACCUCCGAAAAAUUCACUAGCAGCAUAGCUCACUACUCCACGCCCAGCGCGGUCGUGUCGGUGUGAGCGCUCGGCCGAGUGAUGGCCAAGCAUGCGCAGUAAAUUCGGUCGAGCUAAGGCGCGGAUAAAAAUUUUUGAAUUUUGCAGGUUAUGUGCAGUAUGGGUUGCAAAACAUGCAGAAAGAAUGACUUUCUGUUUGAUAACUGAGCUGAAUAGCUUGUUAUUUUAUUUAAAAUCACAACUGUUAAAAGACUUCGAUUAAACAUCGAGUCUGGAUAAUGCACAAGAUUUGACUCACGCAAUUUUUAGUCGAAGACAUUUUUAAAAACUCAAUUUAUAUAAAAGUGAUGUAUCGUAUAAACUUUAAACUUGACAUGCAAGUCAUUUGCACGUAAUUAAGCAUAUCUAAAAUGUUUGAACACUUAAGUUGAACCAGAAGAUCCAGUUCGUCCCAAGUAGACGCAUUUGGCGCACGUUUUUUGAAAGCAACUGGAUCUUCCAGUCAUCGCUGAUUCAUCAAACUUUAGAAAUAUGUUGAAACACAUUGCAAGGGCUUGUCUAUCAAAUUUCAAGUGUAAACCAUGUACCAAAAUUGAGAUUUGCUAUUUUUAGUCAUAAGAUUUUGAGAAAAACUGAAUUUUUUCAAAAGGGAUGCAUCGUACAAACUUUAAACUUGACAUGCAAGUCAUUUGCAUGUAAUUAAGCAUAUUUAUAAAGUUUGAACACUUAAAUUGGACCAGAAGAUCCAGUUCGUCCAUAUUACAAGUGUAAACCAUGCACCACUAUUGAAAAGAUGAAAAGUUACAUAGAAAUUCGAAAAUUAAGUUAAACAAACAUUUUUCAAACCACUGUACACGGAAAAAAAGUGAGCCUGGGGGGACACCGGCACUCGUGUGCAGAAUCAGGAAAGCUGAAUAAUGCCGAUACAGCGCAUACGCGUGCCAUUAGGGCACACAAUCAUGCCGAAUGAAAACGGUCUGAGCGACGCCGAUUCAGCACAGACCCGGUGCUGUUUUGGCACCAGUUCUUGCGCUACUUCGUUCGCAGCGCACUCUCUCCGAAGCAUGCGCGGAUAUAGUGUCACAGAGGCAUUGUUCCAUUCGGUUCGGCGUGUAGCAUCAGAGUUCUAGUUGUGGCUUAUUAUAUAUUUGUUGUAAUUUUGUUCAAAGGUGUAUCAGUGAUGCACCUUUAAAAAUAUUAUAACAAAUAUAACAAUAAGCCUCAAUUCCACAUAGUUACCAGAAAACAGCCUUUAUUGCGCCCUGGGUAAUUUAUUACCUGGCCAAGCAAGCAUUAUUUUUCCGACAUUACUGAAAAAUUGCCGAAAAUGACCGUCCCUAUCGAUUUGAAAAAGGGUACGACGACUACAAGCAAUUAAAAAUAGGGUGAAAAUCGUCUAAUAUGCGAAAAUCCGACGAAAAACCGAAAAAUCUCGUUUCAGCGGCAUUUUUGCCGAUUUUUACCCUAUUUCAAAAUCCACGUAUCUUUCGAUAGGGACAGUCAUUUUCAUCAAUUUUUUUUAAAUUCAAGAUCUCGGGCUGAGCUGUUCAGUAAUGCCGGAAAAACAAAUAUAUAAUAAGCCACAACUAGAACUCUGAUGCUACAUGCCGAACCGAGUGGAAAAAUUAAAGUUUCGAUUUCAUAAGCGGCUUGCUUAGUCACGUGCUCUCGACUUAAAAUGUGGCUAUUACGAGCCUACGACACAAUUAUUUUCCUCGGUAUUAGCGGGGCUCGUGUAAUGCCGAGAUGUGGCAAGCUGUUGUUUUGAUUGCAGUUAUUUUUGAAAUACGAGAGCCUUGGAUAGCCGCGAAAUUAUCAUACCGUUCGGCACGGAAAAACAGUGUCCGGAUAGUAUCAAGGUAACGCCAAACUCGACACAGAGCAUUAGGCCGUAUAACGCAGCAACAACUAAAGUUCUGAAUCGUAUCCUAAGCGAAGCGAAGCACACCGUACUUUCCGAACGGCUUUUAUUUCGGGACGCGCUUUAUGACUGGUCCCUUUUCUAAUUGUGGGCUCCUGGAUUUUCCUCGGCCCAGACCUUCCAUACGACCGGCCUUCCAUCAAAUAUUUUUUCUACAGAUAAUCAUGAAUUCGAUCAGUCGCCUUUAUGUGAUCAUAGAUCUCAGCUUAUUAAAUUAAUUCUUAAUCAAUAUUUUCAGAUAAGAUUGCAUCAUUAUGCUGAAUUGAAAAAUGACAAGGAAAUUCGAAUAAGAAUGAGAAAUAAUAAGCUGACUCUAUUUUAUAAUCAAUAGAAUGCGUACAGUAAAUUAUAUAAGUGUUCAUUUUCUUAUUAUGUCUUUAAUUUAUUUGUAUAUUUAAGGUUGUACAUACUGUUUUUUAUAUAAGUCUCGUAUACUAUAUGUAUUUAACACGCUUAUUUAAUUGAAUCCAAUUGUUUUUCGCCGUUUCACUUUAAAUCCAGCGAAUUCCCGCGUCGCGACGAGCUCGACGCGCGUGAGCAUGGCCGCGCAUGCGCAAUAACACGAUUAGAGAGAGACAGCAUACCUUCUAUUGCAUCUGUCUCUCUCUCAUAGGGUGCCACUUUCGCUAACCUCCACCCGCAGUCUAUUUCUAUUAUGUCUAUGAUUUUAUCCUCAUUCUAUCCUUAACAUAUAGCCCGUUUUUGUAAUUAAAAUAAUAAAUAUGUUUUAUUAUAAAAAGGAUUUGUUUUAUUAUAAAUAAUUAAUUAACUGAAUCACUGUCAAAUUCACUUUCACUAGAACUGUUGCAGUGGUCUGAAUAAUAAAUAUGAUAUGAAGCAAUGUUUUCAAUUGAAAAAUCUUCUUCCAUAUAUAAUUUUUUCUCUUGAUCUUCCGAAAAUUGACUAUAACUUUCUAGUUAUGUUCACAACAGACGCUGCACACACUUGGCUACACCAUGCGCUAUACACAUAGGCAGACGCGGGCGAGCGGCUGCUACACACGCGUGCAUGCGCGUAUACGGAUUUCGCGUUCACGAGUUACUGCCAAGUUUUAUUCGAAUUUGCGGCGAACAAUUCGUUUUCGUAACUGGCGAUCUCUUAAUUGACUGAGUAGUUCAACUAGUCAAUUUUCUACCAGGGUUCCUAUUUCAAGGCAGGAUCAAUUUCAGAUAUUUAACAAAAAUUUUGCCGAAAAUAAAAAUUUUGAAAAAUCAAUUGUAAGUACCUUUAAUCCCUAUAAGAUUAUUUUAUUGAUGUAAUUUCAUUUAUUUAUUGAUUUCAGAAAAAGUAUUUUGAGACCUUGGCAGGAAAAGAUGGAACCAAGCCGGCAAGGGGGAUUUUGCGCAGGAUAAUUACUAAUGAAUUGACCUCAAAAUACAGUUUUAAAGGCCAAGGUGAAAAUGAAAACUGUAGCAUAACGCCAUUGUAUGUAUUACUAGAAGAUGUCGCCACAAAGAAGAGUGGUUCCAAACAAAGAGAUGACGUAAGUACUGGUGUUGCCACGUGGCUAAAAAACGCUCCGUCACGGAU